GCCUAUGAGGAUGGUCAGGAAAAGAAACUUCCGUUCUUCUGAUUUCACCAUGAAGAAAUUUCACGGAGACCUGAACUGAGUAGAC